CUGAGAAUGUGGAGCUGCAGGAAUCUUAUUUUCACAUCUCCCUACGCACCUGUUUGACCUUCACUGUUUUGGUGUCAUGGAAAGUCUCAACUGUCACCCAGAUGGCAGAAAUCCACCAGAAACUCCAAACUAGGGAAAUCCCAGAGUUGAAAAGAAUGAUCUUUUUAGAAAAGAACACCUUAUCAAAAUAAACAUGCUCAGGGAUACAGGAAGUCUGCUUUCUAUGGUAUUGAUGGGGUGUUGGCAUGGCUGGAAAAUCUACAAUGUCCAUAUUACACGAAUGACAGCUUGUGUUGGCCACCAGCUGGAAGCCAGCUGUAGCUGUCAGAAGCCUUGGUUUUCCUACACAUGGAAGUCUCCAUGUGGAUGUUUGAUCUCCCUGUUAGCAUGGCAACUAGGUCUCAAGAAGAAGCAUUUCAUGAGUCAAGAAACAGAGGCUACCAGGACUCUUUAGAUAUGCACUCAAAAGUCCCAGAAAGUCACUUUUGCUAUUUAUCUGCCAAAGCCAAUCACAAGGCCAGUCCUGAUUCAAAGAGAGAGGAGUGAAGUGGUCAUCAUACAAGAGGAGGGGAAUUGGGGCCAUUUUUGGAACCUAGCUACCACAAUUGGAAUAUGCCAAUUGGAAGCACCUUGGAAAUGAAUUUCCACGAAUAUGUGAAAAAUUGAGCUGAAUUUUCCACUCAAAAGGAACCCUCAGAAGUAGUAUGAUCUCAUUUGGCUGUCAAAAGAGAAGAGGCUUCUAUUAUCUUUGACCAGAUUUUGGCUGGGCAGAGGAGAAGAGCAAGGAAGUGGAAGAAUUUCCUUCCUGAACCAAGGCCAAAUAUUUUAAGUUCCUCUGCUGCACACCAACGUUACUCCGCACAGUGAAAAUCUAUCAUCUGCUCUGUACAGAGGAAUGGGGCAGAGACCUUUGGCCUACGUAGAUUUUUCUCCUCCCCCAAACUCUGAAGAAAGAACAAGAUUUCUGGAAUGGAUGGAUUCCAAGGAGAAAGGCAUUCAGAACCAAAGGAAUUUCUCUCUUUAGGAGCUGAGCACUGGGAGACAGGAAGUGAUCCGAGUAUAUUGUGAGGAACUGUGCAUUUUGUGGUAGAGGCUGGCAAGGAGAACUAAGGGGUAGGAACAAACCACAUGAGGGAGAAAAUUCUGCUUCAUAGAAAAGGAAACUCCUGAGAAUCUGGGAUGCCCUACAUUAACAACAGUCGCUGUGGUCCUAGUAUUUGUAUCGCUUCAGAAGUAGAGAGACAUGAGUGAAGGGUACAUUGCUUUCUAGGUUCAGAGUCUAUAAGCCUCCUAGGUUAGAUUUAGGGGUUAUAGUUUUAUAAGUAUUACAUGUGUAUCAAGAGAAUCCUGUAUGUAUGCUCCAAAAGACCAACUGUAGCUUUUGUGUUUGAUUCACUUCUUUGAACACUAUUCUAUAUCAAAAGAGGGACAAGAAUGUGUCUAUUCCUAAUCAGACAGAUCUAGGGCUUCAUAAUCCAUUGUGAAAUGUGUUUUUUCAUCCUGUGAUCAUAUCAAAGAUUUGUUUGCAGUUCUUCAUGGCAGGUUUCAGUGACCAAGAUAUGCCUGUACUAAAAUAAAUGCUAAGGAGUAAAAUGGUAGAGUUUAAAAAUAAAAUCUCCAGGGCAAUAUAUGCAUGUUUUCCACACAUGAAAUUUAAGAAAACACAAAGACAUGAAAGGAAAACAAUAUUGUUUUCCUUGCUAAUGUAGAUCCUUAGUUAUCCCAUAGAUUGCAAAUACAGUCGUAGGAAAUAUUAAAAAGCCCAUUUCAAUGUAGAGACAUCAUCAUAUGGCUUUUGUAAAUAUAAAGCCCAAAUAUCACAAUGAUUUUUUCCAUUUACUUCUAAUAUGUAUGAAAAUUAAGCUCUGCUACAACAUGAAAAUUUCAUAAAAUAUUUAUGACCUGAGCAGUCUUUGUUGAUAAUAGCAAAACAUGUGAGGUGUACAAAUUAGCUAUCACAUGGCUAAAAAAGGCAUGUGUGUGCCUUUAAAUUUAUGGGAGAAUUUAGGCUACAAAUCAAUGUAGGUUUUCAGCAAAUUUGAUCCACAGUAGGGUCCAAUAUUUUUAGUCCGUUCCAUUUCCAUAGGUCACUGUGUCAAGAUAUGGUGCAUAUGUUUAACACAUUAUGAAAUAUGAUUAUUGACUGUGACUUGGUUUAAACUGUACUUAGUUUGGGAUGGAACUCUGGUGUGCUAGCAUCUAAACAAACUCAAGAAACUUUCUAACUUUUUUGCUUACAAGCCAAAUACUUUGAGUUCUCUUCCUUAUAAAUAAAGUGGUGCUAUAAUACCUUUAUUUUAGGUGUAUUGUUGAGAUUAAAUUAAAUGAUAUAGGCAAAGUGUUUAAUACAGUGGGUGGCACUUAGGCUUGCAGUAAAUGCUAGUGCUAUUUCAUGUUUGUCUUAUGUUUACCACCAACUUGAGUUGAGUUAUGCAAACAAAUAUGAUCACUUAAAACAUAUGCAGGAAAGACUCAUUUGUCUGAGCUUGAAGACUUAAGCCUCAAGUGUAGCAAUAUCAAAGCUUCAAAUUGCUAUUCAGGGUUCUAGCAAUUUCAUGAUCUCUGGAGGCAACAGAUUCCAGAAUAAAGAGCCCACCACACUGAGAGUGUACUCUCACUCUAGGGUCCCCUGUGUUGCAAGAAAAGGUGUGAAUGAAUGUAUAUGGGAAGAACCAUGUUGGUUUUUGCUACCAUCACCAUUUUUUCUGUUAAUCUAAGUCUAUUUUAGAAUAAAUGUUUAUUUUAAAAAAUAUACUCUGAGAAAACAACUAAAAAUGAGAAUAUACAUACAGACACAUACACAUACAUUUUAAAUUGGAAAAGUUCAACAGUGAAAUUUGGAAAUAGAUCUGGUGAAUUAUGAACUGGUUACAUAAACUGAGUGGUCCAUAAAUUAUAGCACAUACUAUAUUCUCAUUAAAGACACACAACAUGUGGAACAUUCUGAUAUAUGGAAAAUUAUUCAUAAAUGAAAUACAGAAAAGCAAAAUGAAAAGCAUAAUAGCACGUUUACUCUAGGUAUAACAAUUCCAAAUUCAGCUAUAUUCACAUUAAAAAUGAUUUUAAAAGGAUAUGUAACAAUAAGGUAACGGUAUUGCAAGUCUGUAAAUAUUUUCCAUGGAUAUAUCAGAUGUAAUAUUCUUAGGAAAUAUUUGCUUAUUCAGAUGGAAGAAAUCCUUUCCUCACUCACACUAGUUAUUCUGAAUAUUUUUCUUUUUCUCAACCUAACAUAGAUUCUUGAGAGAGACAGUACCCUCUCUAUUUCCUAAUACAGUGUCACCCAAUAACACUAUUAGCUUGA